GAGUUUCACUCUUCUUGCCCAGGCUGGAGUACAAUGGUACAAUCUUGGCUCACUGCAACCUCUGCCUCCCAAGUUCAAGCGAUUCUCCUGCUUCAGCAUCCGGAGUAGCUGUGAUUACAAACGUGCCACUAUACCCGGAGCUUAUGGUCUUUUCUUAACAUUUCUUGAUGACGAGGAUGGGAUUUGAAGUGGCACCCUUGCUUUUUCCCAACACUAUCUGGACCAAUGCAUUUGCACCUGCAAGAACCCCUUGAGCUCACUUAUCUUCCUGGCUGCACCAGGGAGAAAUGAGGGGAUUUUGGGAUUGCGCCUUCCAGCCCUCUUCAGGAAACAUCAUCUGUAAAAAUUUAUUCUAAAC
rnacentral:lncRNA from 10 species